GACGAACGCUGGCGGCAUGCCUAAUACAUGCAAGUCGAGCGAACAGAUGAAGUGCUUGCACUUCUGACGUUAGCGGCGAACGGGUGAGUAACACGUAAGGAAUCUACCUAUAAGCGGGGGAUAACAUUCGGAAACGGGUGCUAAUACCGCAUAAUAUCUUCUUCCGCAUGGAAGAAGAUUGAAAGACGGCUCUGCUGUCACUUAUAGAUGACCUUGCGGUGCAUUAGUUAGUUGGUGGGGUAACGGCCUACCAAGACGAUGAUGCAUAGCCGACCUGAGGGGGUGAUCGGCCACAUUGGGACUGAGACACGGCCCAAACUCCUACGGGAGGCAGCAGUAGGGAAUCUUCCGCAAUGGGCGAAAGCCUGACGGAGCAAUGCCGCGUGAGUGAAGAAGGCCUUCGGGUCGUAAAACUCUGUUAUAAGAGAAGAACAAAUUGUAGAGUAACUGCUACAGUCUUGACGGUAUCUUAUCAGAAAGCCACGGCUAACUACGCGCCAGCAGCCGCAGUAA
rnacentral:rRNA from 1 species